rnacentral:rRNA from 1 species
AGCGAACGCUGGCGGCAGGCUUAACACAUGCAAGUCGAGCGGGCAUCCUUGUGGUGUCCGCGGCAGACGGGUGAGUAACGCGUGGGAACGUGCCCUUCGUUUCGGACUAACUCAGGGAAACUUGAGCUAAUACCGGAUACGUGCUAGAGCAGAAUGGUUUAUCUGCCGAAGGGUCGGCCCGCGUCUGAUUUUCUAGUUGGUGAGGAUACGGCUCCCCAAGGCGUCGAUCAGUAGCUAGUGUGCGAGGAUGAGCAGGCACACUGGGGCUGAGACACGGUCGAGAAUCCUACGGGAGGGGGGAGUGGGUGAUAUAGCACAACGGGGGCAACGCUGAUCCAGCCAGGCUGGGAGAGUGAUGAUGGUCUGAGGGUUGUAAAGCUCUUUUAUCCGGGACGAUAAUGACGGUACCGGAGGAAUAAGCCCCGGCUAACUUCGUG